ACGGCCACGUAACGUUGAAACACCAGUUCCCGUAUGAUCACCGAAGUUAAGACACGUCAAACCUUGUUAGAACCUAAAUGGGUGACAGCUUAGGAAUACCAGGUGCUGUAAG